UACAAUUUGUUUUUGUUUAAAAAGGAAAAUAGUGAGUUAUAAAUAAAAAAUAACUCCAACAAAAAGUAAGUAGUGUGAGACAAAGGAAAGAUCAAUGACUAAGAUUCAUCCUCCACUAUGAAAAUCUAUGGAGGCAAACAUGUAUAAAAUGGAUACAUGGUUCUUUUCCCUUCUUCCCCACCUAACAUAGUCUAUUUCCAAACCCUUGAGUCUCCAUCGUUGAUCUGAUUUCCCCCUCAAUUCAAUUUUUAAGAGAGACAUCAGUGAGAGUGACUCAAUUUUGCCAAUAGUACUACUCAAAGUUUUGUGGGUUGACAUCAUAGAGGACGAAGUGGGACAGACGUCAAAAAAAAUAGAAAUGGACUCCUCGAGUGAUUCAUGGUAGAAGAGA
rnacentral:lncRNA from 1 species